rnacentral:rRNA from 1 species
GACGAACGCUGGCGGCGUGCUUAACACAUGCAAGUCGAACGGAAAGGCCCUGCAUUUGUGGGGUGCUCAAGUGGCGAACGGAUGAGUAACACGUGAGUAACCUGCCCUUGACUUUGGGAUAACUUCAGGAAACUGGGGCUAAUACCGGAUAGGAGCUCCUGCUGCAUGGUGGGGGUUGGAAAGUUUCGGCGGUUGGGGAUGGACUCGCGGCUUAUCAGCUUGUUGGUGGGGUAGUGGCUUACCAAGGCGUUGACGGGUAGCCCGCCUGAGAGGGUGACCGGGCCCAGGGGGGAACGAGAGACAGCCGAGCGGAAUCCGGCGGAAUGGAGGGGGGAUUGUCGGAGAAGGGCCGCGAGCGUGAUGACGCACUCCGGGUUGUGGAGCGCUGUUCUUCGGGUUGAAAGGCCUUUUUGCGGGUAGUGAGGGGGAUUGACGGUAAAGGGAUAAAAAGCCACGGCUAACUACGUG